GAUGAACGCUGGCGGCGUGCCUAACACAUGCAAGUCGAGCGGCAGCGAGUUUCUCACUGUUUGCUUCUCUUUCUUUGAUAUACAAAGAAGUCUAGAGGAGUGAAGAGUGAGAAAUGUCGGCGAGCGGCGAACGGCUGAGUAACGCGUGGGAAUCUGCCCCAAAGUGAGGAAUAACUGCCCGAAAGGGUAGCUAAUGCCGCAUAUGAUCUUCGGAUUAAAGCAUUUAUGCGCUUUGGGAGGAGCCCGCGUCGGAUUAGAUAGUUGGUGAGGUAAUGGCUCACCAAGUCGACGAUCCGUAGCUGGUCUGAGAGGAUGAUCAGCCAGACUGGAACUGAGACACGGUCCAGACUCCUACGGGAGGCAGCAGUGAGGAAUCUUCCACAAUGGGCGAAAGCCUGAUGGAGCAACGCCGCGUGCAGGAUGAAGGCCUUCGGGUUGUAAACUGCUUUUAUAAGUGAGGAAUAUGACGGUAACUUAUGAAUAAGGAUCGGCUAACUACGUG
rnacentral:rRNA from 1 species